AGGCCUCCUCCCAGCCCGCGGCUGCCCAGCCCGCCCUAGGCCGCAGAGGAGCUGAGCUGCCUCACGUCCCUCCCCAGGAGAGCCCCGCACUCCUUAGCUGCCCAGGGCCCAGGCAAAACCAGAUCGUCUCCCCCUUGGACAGGUCCCCUCUGGGUGCCCUCGGGACAGAUGCAAUGGAGAGAAUAGAAUUCUCCUGACCAUUCAGUGAGAUAAUGCAUGCAAACAUCAUGGAGAAGCCACUCUGCCUGCCUAUGACCCUACCUCGUGUCCGACCCUGAGCCCCACACUCCCUUACCAUCACUCCCAGAAGCAUUUGAAGCAAGAAGCCAUUGCUUUCCAAAGUGCUUUAGUAUUACUGGUUAAUGUGAUUUAUUGAGCACUUAGGAGGUACCCUCUGCCAAAGACUUCCGUGACAAGCAGAAAGCAAAGUGCCAGCCCCAGACUCAUAUUCUUGCUGACAACCCCGGCAGCCCACAUGGACUUCCCGCCUGCUCCAGGGGCCGGGACAUCCUCGCCAAGGCUGCGGCUUAUGACCUAUCAUCACCUUCAACAUCAGCCUGGAAAGUAAGGAAUCAAAGGCCACACAACAGUACGGGGCUAAAUUACAGGAAUUUACUCAUUCACAGAUUCUGCUGAGUGUGGUUUAACUCAUACCUUCGGCUUGCAACCCAGCUAAGAGAUCCUUCUUAGCCUCUGAUCUAUGAAACCCAAAUCCUUAUAAGGAACCUCCCCACUCCCACUACGUACGCUCAUGCACACGCACGCACACACGUGUGUGCACACACACCCGCACAUGCAGAGCUCUAGAUCAAAACCAUACUCUCUGCAGUCACCAAAGCUCUGAUUCAGUCACUCCCUUGGUUGGCCUUGGUUGGUGACCUGGGGACAGGGCGGGUGGCCAGGGCCAGAUGGACAGAAGGAGGACUCAGAAUGAGGAGCUAAGACUGCUCCAACAGGGUGAAGCUUCUUGGCAAUCUACGGGAGCAGAAGGGAGAACGGAGCUGAGCCCCCUCCUGGCCCCUCCCAGCCUCCUGUGGCCUGGUGGGGAACAGGCAGAAUUUGGAGAACUGGGCUGCAUGGCGGACAGUAAUUAAGAAGGGGGUGGCUGGGGAGAGGUUGGUGGGGCUGCACCUUGUUUUCUCUGGAGACUGAGAGGAGGUGCCAGCUGGUUGGGCUCUCUGUUAGCAUUGCUCCCUCACACUGUCUCCUCCCGCCUGGGCCUCGGUCAGCCAUUAGCCAAAGCCUUUGCACUGCGGUCUCCCUCCCUCCAUGUUUCUUCUUUUCUCCCCUCCCCUCCCACCUCUCCUCUGUCUCCUUAUUGUGAUAUUUCGAUCCCGUCUUUAAUAAAGACUUUGCUGCAAGGCCGCCUGUCUGGAUGGAUUGGUGUGCAGUGGUCACCGGAGGUCAGUUGGGAGGAGGGGGCCCUGAAGUGGGGGCCAGAAGGUAGGGUCAAGGGAGCAGCCAGAUGGCCAGGGGAUGUCAGGGAUGUCAGGGAGGGGGUGUCCGUGAGUUCUGACCUGGGCUGAGAGAACACAGAGCACCGGUGAGGCAAAAGUGCCCUCACUCUCAGCAGGAGGGCAGCCAGGCCGCCGCAGCCCAAUACUU